rnacentral:rRNA from 1 species
UCAGGAUGAACGCUGGCGGCGUGCCUAAUACAUGCAAGUCGAGCGAACAGAUGAGAAGCUUGCUUCUCUGAUGUUAGCGGCGGACGGGUGAGUAACACGUGGGUAACCUACCUAUAAGACUGGGAUAACUCCGGGAAACCGGGGCUAAUACCGGAUAAUAUAUUGAACCGCAUGGUUCAAUGUUGAAAGACGGUUUCGGCUGUCACUUAUAGAUGGACCCGCGCCGUAUUAGCUAGUUGGUAAGGUAACGGCUUACCAAGGCAACGAUACGUAGCCGACCUGAGAGGGUGAUCGGCCACACUGGAACUGAGACACGGUCCAGACUCCUACGGGAGGCAGCAGUAGGGAAUCUUCCGCAAUGGGCGAAAGCCUGACGGAGCAACGCCGCGUGAGUGAUGAAGGUCUUAGGAU